GGGCUGGGAAGUCUGAAAAGCACAGUUGAAGCUACAGGGAACAUGGGCCUGUGUGUCCCGUAGCAGUGAGGUGCAAAGAAGAAUGGCCAAGGAAGCAGAGUGUAGGCACAACUUUUUUUCUCUUCUCUUCUUUCUUUCUUUUUUUUUUUUUUUUUUUUUUUUUUUUUUUGUCUUGUUUGACCAGCCUUGGCAGUGCCCUGCAGCUCUCCAGGGGAAAAGCUGCAGUUCUGCUCUUGCAACACAAGGAGCAGACUGGAGAAUUUAGAUCUGCGUCACAGAGCUCAGAGAGAGAGAGAGAGAGAGAGAGAGAGAGAGAGAGAGAGCGAGCGCUCGAGCAAGCGAGCUCCGUCGAUAGGUCUGCUAGCAACAGCCGUGCUGCAGCAGAGAGAGAGAGAGAAAUCAAGAACCAAGUCAUAGCAACACCGGGCACUGGGUUCCACGAGCUCACUUGCCAAGCCUUGAGAUCUGCUGGAGCCAGAGGCCUCUGGGGGACAGGAGAUUUGCAUUGA
rnacentral:lncRNA from 1 species